rnacentral:misc_RNA from 1 species
GAUGAAGAACGCAGCGAAAUGCGAUAAGUAGUGUGAAUUGCAGAAUUCAGUGAAUCAUCGAAUCUUUGAACGCACAUUGCGCCCCUUGGUAUUCCAUGGGGCAUGCCUGUUCGAGCGUCAUUUGUACCUUCAAGCUUUGCUUGGUGUUGGGUGUUUGUCCUGAGGGACUCGCCUUAAAGUAAUUGGCAGCCAGUGUUUGGUUUUGAAGCGCAGCACAAGUCGCGAUUCAAAGCUAUACGCCCGCUUCCACAAGCCUUUUUCACUUUUGACCUCGGGUCAGGUAGGGAUACCCGCUGAACUUAAGCAUAUCAAUAAGCGGAGGA